AACGAACGCUGGCGGCAUGCCUAACACAUGCAAGUCGAACGACACCUUCGGGUCUAGUGUCGCACGGGUUCGUAACGCGUUGGAACCUGCCCUUAGAUUCGGAAUAACUCCCCGAAAAAGGUGCUAAUACCUACUCAUGCCCUCGAUCCAAAGAUUUAUCGCCUUUGGGUGUGCUUCCGUUGUAUUACCUAGUUGGUAGCGUAAAUGCCUACCAAUGCGACGAUCGAUAGCUGGGGUGAGAGGAUGAUCAGACACACUGGUCCUGAGAAACGGCCCAGACUCCUACGCGAGGCAGCAGUGGGGAAUAUUGGAAAAUGGGGGAAAGGAUGAUCCAGCAAGGCCGCGAGAGUGAUGAAGGACGGAGGGUAGUAAAGCUCGUUAACACGGGAGGAUAAUGACAGUACCGUAAGAAUAAGCACCGGCUAACUACGUG
rnacentral:rRNA from 1 species